rnacentral:rRNA from 1 species
ACUGCUCAGUAACACGUGGAUAACCUACCCUACGAUGGGACAUAACCCCGGGAAACUGGGGAUAAUAUCCCAUAGGUUACGGCAGCUGGAAUGCGCUGUAACUCAAAGCUCCGGCGUCGUAGGAUGGAUCUGCGGCCGAUUAGGUUGUUGUUGGGGUAACGGCCCAACAAGCCUGUAAUCGGUACGGGUUGUGGGAGCAAGAGCCCGGAGAUGGAUUCUGAGACACGAAUCCAGGCCCUACGGGGCGCAGCAGGCGCGAAAACUUUACAAUGCGGGAAACCGUGAUAAGGGAACCUCGAGUGCCCGUAAACGCGGGCUGUUCCGGUGUCUAAAGCACAUCGGGAGAAAGGGCCGGGCAAGACCGGUGCCAGCCGCCGCGGUAAUACCGGCGGCUCGAGUGGUGACCACUUUUAUUGGGCUUAAAGCGUUCGUAGCUGGGUUGUUAAGUCCCUUGGGAAAUCUGACGGCUUAACCGUCAGGCGUCUAAGGGAUACUGGCAAUCUUGGGACCGGGAGAGGUGAGAGGUACUCCGGGGGUAGGAGUGAAAUCCUGUAAUCCUCGGGGGACCACCUGUGGCGAAGGCGUCUCACCAGAACGGCUCCGACAGUGAGGGACGAAAGCUGGGGGAGCAAACCGGAUUAGAUACCCGGGUAGUCCCAGCCGUAAACGAUGCGCGUUAGGUGUAUCGGUGACCACGAGUUACCGAGGUGCCGAAGGGAAACUGUGAAACGUGCCGCCUGGGAAGUACGGUCGCAAGGCUGAAACUUAAAGGAAUUGGCGGGGGAGCAC